rnacentral:rRNA from 1 species
AGCGAACGCUGGCGGCAGGCUUAACACAUGCAAGUCGAGCGGGUCCUUCGGGGUCAGCGGCGGACGGGUGAGUAACGCGUGGGAACGUGCCUUCUGGUUCGGAAUAACCCUGGGAAACUAGGGCUAAUACCGGAUACGCCCUUUUGGGGAAGGGUUUACUGCCGGAAGAUCGGCCCGCGUCUGAUUAGCUAGUUGGUGGGGUAACGGCCUACCAAGGCGACGAUCAGUAGCUGGUCUGAGAGGAUGAUCAGCCACACUGGGACUGAGACACGGCCCAGACUCCUACGGGAGGCAGCAGUGGGGAAUAUUGGACAAUGGGCGCAAGCUUGAUCCAGCCAUGCCGCGUGAGUGAUGAAGGCCUUAGGGUUGUAAAGCUCUUUUAUCCGGGACGAUAAUGACGGUACCGGAGGAAUAAGCCCCGGCUAACUUCGUGCCAGCCGCCGCGGUAA